rnacentral:rRNA from 1 species
AACGAACGCUGGCGGCAUGCCUAACACAUGCAAGUCGAACGCCAUCUUCGGAUGGAGUGGCAGACGGGUGAGUAACGCGUGGGAACGUACCCUUUGGUUCGGAAUAUUCUCGGGAAACUGAGAGCAAUACCGGAUAAGCCCUACGGGGGAAAGAUUUAUCGCCAAAGGAUCGGCCCGCGUUGGAUUAGGUAGUUGGUGGGGUAAUGGCCUACCAAGCCGACGAUCCAUAGCUGGUUUGAGAGGAUGAUCAGCCACACUGGGACUGAGACACGGCCCAGACUCCUACGGGAGGCAGCAGUGGGGAAUCUUAGACAAUGGGCGCAAGCCUGAUCUAGCCAUGCCGCGUGAGCGAUGAAGGCCUUAGGGUUGUAAAGCUCUUUCAGUGGGGAAGAUAAUGACUGUACCCACAGAAGAAGCCCCGGCUAACUCCGUG